AGUGAUCAGAAGACAAGAGUGUGAGCCUUCUGUUAUACCCGGGAAGGGCCACCAGAGGGCUCCUUGGUCUAGGGGUAACGCCA
rnacentral:miRNA from 1 species